rnacentral:hammerhead_ribozyme from 1 species
AGCCGAAACGCCCGCAAGGGCGUCCGCGGGAGAUUGCCUACCCGCGCUGAUGAGGCAGGCAGAA